rnacentral:snoRNA from 1 species
UACAUGUACCAGAUGAAAAUAUCACGGAUGUAAUUGGGUCCCAGAGACUCACGUAUCCGAGAGCGCAAAAAUAAGUGGAUAUUGCCGUUGCCUUCCUUCUGAAUUGC